AUUCCUUGUGUCACAUGUGUACUAGUGGCCC
rnacentral:piRNA from 1 species